rnacentral:rRNA from 1 species
AUUGAACGCUGGCGGCAUGCCUUACACAUGCAAGUCGAACGGUAACGGGUCUUCGGAUGCUGACGAGUGGCGAACGGGUGAGUAAUACAUCGGAACGUGCCCGAGAGUGGGGGAUAACGAGGCGAAAGCUUUGCUAAUACCGCAUACGAUCUCAGGAUGAAAGCAGGGGACCGCAAGGCCUUGCGCUCACGGAGCGGCCGAUGGCAGAUUAGGUAGUUGGUGGGAUAAAAGCUUACCAAGCCGACGAUCUGUAGCUGGUCUGAGAGGACGACCAGCCACACUGGGACUGAGACACGGCCCAGACUCCUACGGGAGGCAGCAAUGGGGAAUUUUGGACAAUGGGCGCAAGCCUGAUCCAGCCAUGCCGCGUGCAGGAUGAAGGCCUUCGGGUUGUAAACUGCUUUUGUACGGAACGAAAAGACUCUGGUUAAUACCUGGGGUCCAUGACGGUACCGUAAGAAUAAGCACCGGCUAACUACGUGCCAGCCGCCGCGGUAAGAC